rnacentral:rRNA from 1 species
ACGCUGGCGGCACGCUUAACACAUGCAAGUCGAACGAGAUCUUCGGAUCUAGUGGCAGACGGGUGAGUAACGCGUGGGAACCUGCCCAGUAGUAGAGAAUAACUUGGGGAAACUUAAGCUAAUACUUUAUACGUCCUUCGGGAGAAAGCUUUAUGCGCUAUUGGAUGGGCCCGCGUUAGAUUAGUUUGUUGGUGAGGUAAUGGCUCACCAAGACUACGAUCUAUAGCUGGUCUGAGAGGAUGAUCAGCCACACUGGGACUGAGACACGGCCCAGACUCCUACGGGAGGCAGCAGUGGGGAAUAUUGGACAAUGGGGGCAACCCUGAUCCAGCGAUGCCGCGUGAGUGAUGAAGGCCUUAGGGUUGUAAAACUCUUUCGUCAGGGAAGAUAAUGACGGUACCUGAAGAAGAAGAUCCGGCUAACUCCGUGCCAGCAGCCGCGGUAAUACGGAGGGAUCUAGCGUUAUUCGGAAUUACUGGGCGUAAAGCGAGCGUAGGCGGAUUUGUAAGUUGGAGGUGAAAUCCCAGAGCUUAACUCUGGAACUGCCUUCAAAACUACAUUUCUUGAGUUUGGUAGAGGAGAGUGGAAUUCCUAGUGUAGAGGUGAAAUUCGUAGAUAUUAGGAGGAACACCAGUGGCGAAGGCGACUCUCUGGGCCAAUACUGACGCUGAGGUUCGAAAGCAUGGGUAGCGAACAGGAUUAGAUACCCUGGUAGUCCAUGCAGUAAACGAUGAGUGCUAGAUGUUGGGAAUUUAGAUUUCCAGUAUCGCAGUUAACGCGUUAAGCACUCCGCCU